CUCCACCCUGGACCUACAUCAUUAGAAUCAGGAGACUGUGGCCUCUCCGAAUUUGCUGAAGUCCGCAAGUGAUUCCAAUGAGCCCUCUAAGGGUAGAAAACAUCACUGUUUUGAUCAAAAGGCCAGCUACAUCUCUGUGUGCCCUGAACUCUUUUGAUCUGUGCAGUGAGGAAAUGCCUACCCCAGAGCUGGUUUGGGAGCAGGGAAGCAGCUUGAGGAGCUGAGUGCAGAGGAAAAGACAAGACUGGGGAGUGGGGAAGCUCUUGAGAAAAGGAGCCGCCAUCACAGAUCAAGGAACUUCUGCAAGAAACAUCCAGCGUCCCAAGUCACCCCUGGCCUCCAUCCUGACCUUAUGGUGUUCCAUGCCAAUCUAUAAUGGGAACUGUUAAUGUAGAAGUAAAUAUAACAAUCCUUGGCCUUAAGGAACUUGCACCUGUUGUAAAGGAAGACAUUCAACAUGGACUGGAUUCUAGUUAAAGCUGGAAGAUCCUGAACCCACCCCUCCUAUGGACACACAAAUCUACAACUACAUAUGGAAUCAUUUCCUCUAAAAAAAGGACAGAAAGGAAGGAACCAAAAACUAGUUGAGUGAUUCCUACACACACACUGAAGUGGGCUGAGAAUCUCUCCAUAGGCCCUACCCCUGGUGCAGUGACCCACAAUGAGAAGAAAACAAAACCUGAGCUACUCUCCAAGGAGUGAAAGGUCUGAGCCCCACAUUAGGUACCUCAACCUUUAAGACCUCCAAUUAAAAGUCCCCAAAACAUCCAGCUUUGAAAACCAAUGGGGCUCAUGUCCACAGACUCGCAAGACCUGUCAUCAGCAGAGAAAUGGUUCUUAAAGGCUGGAAUGCUCAGACUCACUCUCCCCAGACCCAGAGCAGAGGCAGCAGCGUAUUGAGAGGGGCCCAGACCUUAACCCUCUCUCACAUAGUGUUUAAGUACAUCAAGGGGCCUAUCCAGGUGUUCUCUGGGGAUGAUGGCUGGUGAGCAACAUCUUUGCACUCUCCCUCUGCUUCACUCCAGCUCACUGGUAUCUCCUGGAAGGGAGCUGCUACCCUUUGUGCUACCCAAAGCCCUUUGUGGCUGCCACCAGGGGAUACCUCUAGAUUGUCUCGGGCCAAUAGAGCCUAUGCUCAUGGAUCCCACAGGACUGUAAUCAACAGAGAAAAUUCUUAACUGGCCACCACCCCCAGGGCACAAUAAGAGGCAACAGAGUAAGGUACCCAGUUUUACUGUGAAAAAGGAAGGUAUUAACCUACCUUCAUUGCUGUGGCCGGAGGGCAGACUUUAAUCAAAGAUA